UUUCCGUAGGUGAACCUGCGGAAGGAUCAUUAAAGAGUAAGGGUCUUCGGGCCCGAUCUCCAACCCUUUGUUUAACUACCAUGUUGCUUUGGCGGGCCCGUCUCACGACCGCCGGAAGUAUGGCUUCGACCAAACUUCUGGCCCGUGCCCGUCAGUGGCCCCUUCAAAUUCUUGAUCAAGUAUGAUGUCUUAGUUAAAAACUUAAUAGUUAAAACUUUCAACAACGGAUCUCUUGGUUCUG
rnacentral:misc_RNA from 1 species